rnacentral:rRNA from 1 species
UACGUAGGGGGCGAACGUUGUCCGGAUUUAUUGGGCGUAAAGAGCGUGUAGGCGGCCAGGUAGGUCUGCUGUGAAAACUCGAGGCUCAACCUCGAGACGUCGGCGGAAACCAUCUGGCUAGAGUCCGGAAGAGGAGAGUGGAAUUCCUGGUGUAGCAGUGAAAUGCGCAGAUAUCAGGAGGAACACCGGUGGCGAAGGCGGGUCUCUGGGCCGAUACUGACGCUGAGGAGCGAAAGCGUGGGGAGCAAACAGG